GAGAUCUCGCGGGAUCUCAGAGAGCGUCCGCUUCAGAAGGUUAGGUAGCUUCCGGUGCCCGUGCUGCGCUCUAGAUUGCCUUCGCUCUCCUCGUGGCUCCUCCCUCUUUUCCCUUUCUCCAUCCCUUAAAGACCGUGGAGUCCUCUCCUCUCACUUUCCAGAUCUCAAAAUUAGAAAGGCUUCAAGGGUCAUCUAAUCCAUCCAUACCUGAAUAGGAAUUCCUGUUUCAAUAUAGCUAACAAGUCAUCAUGCAGCCUCACUUUAGGAUCUCAGGCCUAUUCAAUGUCUUGGAGUGGAGAAGAGGAUUCUGGGAAGAUGGUAG
rnacentral:lncRNA from 1 species